GAUCAGUGGCUACGAGGACACGCUGGCGGCGUGCUUAACACAUGCAAGUCGAGGGUAGCAAUACACUGGCGCAAGGGUGCGUAACGCGUAGAUUAUCUGCCCCAUACACUAACAUAACGCUUGGAAACGGGUGCUAAUAUUAGAUGAGGUGCUUCGGCAUCAAAGUUUCGACGGUAUGGGAUGAGUCUGCGUCUGAUUAGCUAGUUGGUAGUGUAAUGGACUACCAAGGCGACGAUCAGUAGCUGGUCUGAGAGGACGAUCAGCCACACUGGAACUGAGACACGGUCCAGACUCCUACGGGAGGCAGCAGUGAGGAAUUUUGCGCAAUGGACGAAAGUCUGACGCAGCGACGCCGCGUGUGGGAUGAAGGGGCUACGCCCUGUAAACCACUGUUAGAUGUGAAAAAAAGAUGGCUUUGCCGUCCGGGAUUGUAACAUCAAAGAAAGGACCGGCUAACUACGUG
rnacentral:rRNA from 1 species